rnacentral:tRNA from 1 species
CGGUAAUUUAGUUGGUUAUUCUAACGUUAUCAGUUAGUUAGCUACCUUAGCGGCGCUGCAUGGGGUGCAAGGGGUCGAGUGUUCGAAUCACUCCGUCCCGACCA